UGGAGAUGAAUCCCGUAUGAAGUGGAUCACAACCCACGUGUCCAAGCAUUGAAAAUGUGCAGCAAAUGCAUAAUAUGCCAGAAACUCCUAAGCUACACGUUCUACAUGUGCCUAAAUGUGAAAGAAAUGACACGGUGUGCUUAGUAGAAUGAGGGGUGGCGCCAAGCAACUUUAUUCUUCAUUUGGACAGUUUUACCCCUUCUCCUUGUGGGUCCAUGAUGGCCUUGGACCCAAGUCAUCAU
rnacentral:lncRNA from 1 species